rnacentral:siRNA from 1 species
UUCUGGUCUUUUUUUCUUGAC